rnacentral:rRNA from 1 species
CCCAGACUCCUACGGGAGGCAGCAGUGGGGGAUAUUGCACAAUGGGGGGAACCCUGAUGCAGCGACGCCGCGUGGGUGAAGGAGUAUUUCGGUAUGUAAAGCCCUAUCGGCAGGGAAGAAGAAAGACGGUACCUGACUAAGAAGCCCCGGCUAACUACGUGCCAGCAGCCGCGGUAAUACGUAGGGGGCGAGCGUUAUCCGGAUUCACUGGGUGUAAAGGGAGCGUAGACGGCCAAGCAAGCCAGGGGUGAAAGCCCGGGGCCCAACCCCGGGACUGCUCUUGGAACUGCGCGGCUGGAGUGCAGGAGGGGCAGGCGGAAUUCCUGGUGUAGCGGUGAAAUGCGUAGAUAUCAGGAGGAACACCGGUGGCGAAGGCGGCCUGCUGGACUGCGACUGACGUUGAGGCCCGAAAGUGUGGGGAGCAAACAGGAUUAGAUACCCGUGUAU